rnacentral:rRNA from 1 species
UAAACUCGGGAAACUGAGUAUAAUACCCCAUAGACCACUACGCCUGGAACGGUGAGUGGUUGAAAGCUCAGGCGGUGUAGGAUGGGUCUGCGGCGUAUCAGGUCGUAGGGGGUGUAAUGGACCUCCUAGCCAUCGACGCGUACGGGUUGUGGGAGCAAUAGCCCGGAGACAGAUUCUGAGACACGAAUCCGGACCCUACGGGGUGCAGCAGGCGCGAAAACUUCACACUGCAGGAAACUGUGAUGAGGGAACUCCAAGUGACUGCCCAAUGGGUAGCCUUUUCUUGAAUCUUAAUAGUUCUUGGAAUAAGGGCUGGGAAAGACCGGUGCCAGCCGCCGCGGUAAUACCGGCAGCUCAAGUGGUCGUCGCUUUUAUUGGGCCUAAAACGUCCGUAGCCUGUUUGGUAAAUCUGUGGGUAAAUCAACGAGCUUAACUCGUUGAAUUCUGCAGAGACUGCCAGACUAGGGACCGGGAGAGGUAUGAGGUACUCUGGGGGUAGGGGUAAAAUCCUGUCAUCCUCAGAGGACCACCUGUUGCGAAGGCGUCAUACUGGAACGGAUCCGACGGUCAGGGACGAAGCCUAGGGGCACGAACCGGAUUAGAUACCCGGGUAGUCCUAGGUGUAAACGCUGUGGAUUAGGUGUGUGGGGUCCGCAAUGGGCCCCAUGUGCCGGAGUGAAGAUGUUAAA